rnacentral:rRNA from 1 species
CCUACGGGUGGCAGCAGUGAGGAAUAUUGGUCAAUGGGCGCGAGCCUGAACCAGCCAAGUCGCGUGAGGGAAGACGGUCCUAUGGAUUGUAAACCUCUUUUGUCGGGGAGCAAAAGACGCCACGCGUGGCGUUCCGCGAGUACCCGCUACAUAAGCAUCGACUAACUCCGUGCCAGCAGCCGCGGUACUAGGGGGGAUGCGAGCGUUAUCCGGCUUUAUUGGGUUUAAAGGGUGCGUAGGUGGAAGAUCAAGUCAGAGGUAAAAUUGUGGGGUUAAACCUCUUCUAGCCGUUGACACUGGUUGUCUUGAGUGAACGAGAGGGAUGCGGAAUGCGUGGUGUAGCGGUGAAAUGCAGAGAUAUCACGCAGAACUCCGAUUGCGAAGGCAGCAUACCGGAGCGCAACUGACGCUCAUGCACGAAAGUGUGGGUAUCGAACAGGAUUAGAUACCCCUGUAGUC